rnacentral:rRNA from 1 species
ACGCACGCUGGCGGCGUGCUUAACAUAUGCCAGUCGAACGGAAGGGCCCUGCUUUUGUGGGGUGCUCGAGUGGCGAACGGGUGAGUAACACGUGAGUAACCUGCCCUUGACUUUGGGAUAACUUCAGGAAACUGGGGCUAAUACCGGAUAGGAGCUCCUGCUGCAUGGUGGGGGUUGGAAAGUUUCGGCGGUUGGGGAUGGACUCGCGGCUUAUCAGCUUGUUGGUGGGGUAGUGGCUUACCAAGGCUUUGACGGGUAGCCGGCCUGAGAGGGUGACCGGCCACAUUGGGACUGAGAUACGGCCCAGACUCCUACGGGAGGCAGCAGUGGGGAAUAUUGCACAAUGGGCGGAAGCCUGAUGCAGCAACGCCGCGUGCGGGAUGACGGCCUUCGGGUUGUAAACCGCUUUCGCCUGUGACGAAGCGUGAGUGACGGUAAUGGGUAAAGAAGCACCGGCUAACUACGUG